rnacentral:misc_RNA from 1 species
GAUGAAGAACGCAGCGAAAUGCGAUACGUAAUGUGAAUUGCAGAAUUCAGUGAAUCAUCGAAUCUUUGAACGCAUAUUGCGCUCUCUGGUAUUCCGGAGAGCAUGCUUGUUUGAGUAUCAGUAAACACCUCAACUUCCAUAUCUUUUUUGAAAUGGGAGUUGGACUUGAGUGAUCCCAACGCUUUUCCUCACCGAAAAGUGGCGGGUUACUUGAAAUGCAGGUGCAGCUGGACUUUUCUCUGAGCUAUAAGCAUAUCUAUUUAGUCUGCCUAAAAAACAGAUUAUUACCUUUGCUGCAGCUAACAUAAAGGAGAUUAGUUCUUGUGCUGACUGAUGCAGGAUUCACAAAGACAGCUUCGGCCGACUUUGUAAACUCGAUCUCAAAUCAAGUAAGACUACCCGCUGAACUUAAGCAUAUCAAUAAGCGGAGGA